UACGUAGGGGGCUAGCGUUGUCCGGAAUCAUUGGGCGUAAAGAGCGUGUAGGCGGUUUGGUAGGUCCGCUGUGAAAACUCGAGGCUCAACCUCGAGACGCCGGUGGAAACCGUUUGGCUAGAGUCCGGAAGAGGAGAGUGGAAUUCCCGGUGUAGCGGUGAAAUGCGCAGAUAUCAGGAAGAACACCCGUGGCGAAGGCGGCUCUCUGGGACGGUACUGGACGCUGAGACGCGAAAGCGUGGGGAGCGAACAGG
rnacentral:rRNA from 1 species